rnacentral:snRNA from 14 species
AUACUUGUCUGAUAGGGAGGUGUUCUGAUCAUGAAGGUGGUGUUUGAAAGUGGGCCUCAUCUGUAGCACUUCAGGGAGGCUGACUGCAGGCAGUUUCCCCAGAUCCAGGGAGCUUGACUGUAAAAUUUGUGAAAUGGGAGACCAUUUUUAUUCUUUUUCCU